UACGUAGGGUGCAAGCGUUAAUCGGAAUUACUGGGCGUAAAGCGUGCGCAGGCGGUUGGGCAAGACAGAUGUGAAAUCCCCGGGCUUAACCUGGGAACUGCAUUUGUGACUGCACGGCUAGAGUACGGUAGAGGGGGAUGGAAUUCCGCGUGUAGCAGUGAAAUGCGUAGAUAUGCGGAGGAACACCGAUGGCGAAGGCAGUCCCCUGGACCUGUACUGACGCUCAUGCACGAAAGCGUGGGGAGCAAACAGG
rnacentral:rRNA from 1 species